CCUACGGGAGGCAGCAGUGGGGAAUAUUGCGCAAUGGGCGAAAGCCUGACGCAGCGACGCCGCGUGAGGGAUGAAGGUCUUCGGAUCGUAAACCUCUGUCAGCAGGGAAGAACGGUCACUGUGCUAAUCAGCAGUGAAUUGACGGUACCUGCAAAGGAAGCACCGGCUAACUCCGUGCCAGCAGCCGCGGUAAUACGGAGGGUGCGAGCGUUAAUCGGAAUUAAUGGGCGUAAAGCGCUCGUAGGCGGUAUGUCAAGUCAAGGGUGAAAUCCCCGCGCUCAACGUGGGAACUGCCUUUGAAACUGGCAAACUGGAGUGUGUGAGAGGUAAGUGGAAUUCGAGGUGUAGGAGUGAAAUCCGUAGAUAUCUGGAGGAACACCAGUGGCGAAGGCGACUAUCUGGCACAUAACUGACGCUGAGGAGCGAAAGCGUGGGUAGCGAACAGGAUUAGAUACCCUGGUAGUC
rnacentral:rRNA from 1 species